rnacentral:rRNA from 1 species
CAGCAGCCACGGUAAUACGUAGGGUGCAAGCGUUAAUCGGAAUUACUGGGCGUAAAGCGUGCGCAGGCGGUUAUGUAAGACAGUUGUGAAAUCCCCGGGCUCAACCUGGGAACUGCAUCUGUGACUGCAUAGCUAGAGUACGGUAGAGGGGGAUGGAAUUCCGCGUGUAGCAGUGAAAUGCGUAGAUAUGCGGAGGAACACCGAUGGCGAAGGCAAUCCCCUGGACCUGUACUGACGCUCAUGCACGAAAGCGUGGGGAGCAAACAGGAUUAGAUACCCCUGUAGUCCCUGUCUCUUAUAC